rnacentral:rRNA from 1 species
UACGUAGGGGGCAAGCGUUGUCCGGAUUUAUUGGGCGUAAAGAGCGUGUAGGUGGUUCGGUAGGUCCGUUGUGAAAACUCGAGGCUCAACCUCGAGACGCCGAUGGAAACCCUCGAACUAGAGUCCGGAAGAGGAGAAUGGAAUUCCUGGUGUAGCGGUGAAAUGCGCAGAUAUCAGGAAGAACACCCCGUGGCUAAGGCGGUUCUCUAGUACGGUACUGACGCUGAGACGCGAAAAGCGUGGGGAGCAAACAGG